GGAGAGGCCGUCCGCGUACUGCGUAGCAGUUACAUCAGACUGAGACACUUCCUGUUUACAGGAGACUUUAUAAACCCCUGCCGCAUACUCAUUUGGUGCUGACGCCAUUGUAGACCUCAGCCCGUAUGUACCCAGGCGCUCAUUAGAACAGGGCGUUGCUCCACACCGCCUUGUGGUGUUUGUUGCCGCGCUCUUGGGGUUCGAACCGAUACAGCAGGCUUGCAGCUAUUUCAUUGGUUUAAACUUUUUUUUUUUUAUUGCAAAUGAAAAUUACUAUCAACUAUCAUUACGAAGCUGUAGAAUAUGAAGUUCGAAGGAAAACGCUGAAUCAGAUACAAAAGCGUCUCAAUCAGACUCAUCCAUUUUGAAGCAAUUCCUCUGCCAUUUUGCCACCUCCUCUCAAAUUCAGCGACUUACCAGAACGAGCCUAAAGGAGACAAGACUGACAAGAUUAGCAAAGUUAACAGGCUAAAGAAAUCCACAAGCUUUCCUGAUCUCUCACCUGGCUUCACCUGGUUUACAUAACAGCCUUUCAACUCAUUUAUUGCCUCUUUCAUCCAGAGCGAUCAUUUCUAAACCUGAAAUCCAUCCCAACAUACCUUCCCUGACCUCAACUGCGUGACUGACCAGCAGAGAUUGGGCUCACCAGACGGGCAAGGCCCAGGGUGGAAUGUGGAUGUCUGAAAUCAGGAAAAAGAAAAAACAGAGAAGAAACUAUUAAAGGCUCAAAGAAAACAAAACACUCAGACUGGAUCAAGGAUCUUCUAAGCAACAAUGAAAAAAAAAAUACAACUCAGCAGAAUGGCUACAAGGGAAGUCUCUAAGGAUAGAUGUUUCUGUUUCUUACUCUUGUGUUUCAGGGUGCCCCUGAAUCUACUGUGAUGUUGGGUGUGUUGCAUCUUGAAGGUGACCCAAGCUCAGGUUUUGAUGAUAUGGCUUAUUAGGUUCUUAUCAUGACUUGUGAUUCCAGAUGAAUUAUUAAGUGAUGCAAACAAAACAGUACCUUUACUUUCAUCACUUAGAUUUGAUUUUUGAGUCAGUCUAGUUUCUGUUUGAAUCUCUUCUCCAACAUUUGCCUAUGUGAACUCAGAGCAGUUAUUUUACCUCUGUGUUCUCUCUGUGAAUUCUGGAAAAUAUAAAGGAAGCUUCAGAACACAGGGCUGUCUGGGGCACAAGAGACAUUAUGGAAGAAAACCUGAGUCAUGAGCCAUUGCGUCAAUACCAAAUCGCAAUUUAAACCAAGUUUAUAGGAUUUUUGACAAUGCUUCAUGUCUUUCACCUUUCCCUAAUUCAUCAUUAAUUCUUCCCCUUAUUUGCCCUUUUUAUUUGUUUUUUUUUCCUUACUCCUUGUGAAACAUGUUCUAUUUUUUGUUAUCUGUACUAAGAUCGCCUGCUUGCUGACACCUAACCAUAUUCCAAUAGUUAUGGCAAAUUACAGAACAAUUGGCUGAAAAUUGUGUGUCUCCAUG
rnacentral:lncRNA from 1 species